GAUGAAGAACGCAGUGAAAUGCGAUACUUGGUGUGAAUUGCAGAAUCCCGUGAACCAUCGAGUCUUUGAACGCAAGUUGCGCCCGAAGCCAUUAGGCCGAGGGCACGCCUGCCUGGGCGUCACACGUCGUUGCCCCCCCAUCUACUCCUUCGGGAUUGCGGGGGGCGGAUGAUGGCCUCCCGUGCGCCUCGCCGCGCGGUUGGCAUAAAUGCCAAGUCCUCGGCGACGCACGCCACGACAAUCGGUGGUUGCGAAACCUCGGUUGCCCGUCGUGUGCGGUCGUCGCGCAUCGAGGGCUCGAAAAAAUUGCCGGGUUCCGGCUCGGCUUUCAACGCGACCCCAGGUCAGGCGGGGUUAACCGCUGAAUUUAAGCAUAUCAAUAAGCGGAGGA
rnacentral:misc_RNA from 1 species